rnacentral:lncRNA from 1 species
UUCCGGGUCGAGUCCGAUACCGAUACCAAUAGUAUAUUCACCUGUUACCGAUUACCUUAUCUGUACGUUCCGCAUCUGACAGGCGCACCACCAAACGGUGUAUUCAGGAUUAAUAUGCUAUAUAGUAUUACACGGGUCAUAAUCACAGGGUUGACACUACUUAAUUGUCAAAUUGUUACCUAUUGUAGUAUUUUAAUCAGUUAGACUUUCUAAGAUAACAAUACGAAUACUAAAAAUCUGGACUAAAAUAAGGCGUAUAGGUACAGUUUUCAAUUUGUUAGCGGGCAUGACGUAAAACAGCGAAUCAAAGAAUUCAAUAUUUAUAACUAAUAUAGGACAAUGCUGUUGAUUAAAAAAUACUCCAUUCCAGGACCUUUUGUUUUCCAAAUAAUUAAUAUUAUCAAUAAUUGAUAAGUUCCAGUUCGACGGGUUCAAACAGAAAGAUUUGAAAGCAGAGAAAACUGUGUAUCUUAUAAUCAGCAUGACUUUAUCAGAUGACAAUACUAAUAUACUAAAAUAAGGCUUGCGCAUAG